UGGGUUGUCCGCGGGCCAGAGACGGUCAGGCUCGCUCUACCGCUCUCAGGCACCUGCCUUUCUCUGCGUUCCGGAAUGCGGCCAAGACCGAAUAAAGGAAAUUACAUAGUAAGCGGAGAUCGGGUGUCUGAGCAGCGCCUUGGAUCAAAUCCACUCAUGACAGAGACAAUGUAGGAUCAUAUGCUACAGAUUGCUCUAACUCGCAAACGAUCCUGGACAACAGGUUCAAAGCUACGUUAAAGGAAAGAAAUAAGCUCAAGGAACUUCUUGCAUCCAUAACCCCUCAGAAUGAAGAUAUGGAAAAAACUGCCUAAUUAUGAAAAUCUUACAUGACAUUUCUAAUAUCUAGGGCCAGCAGGUAAAGGCACCUGCUACCAAACCUGACUAGUACAGGCAAGUGGAGAGAAAGAAUUCAAGAGAUGCAGGCAAGAGGAUCAGAUAAAUGAAGAUUUUGUAUACUGAGACUCAGGACGUUUUGACUCAACCACAUAUCAACCAGUAUUUCUCAAACUGAGGAAUGUUGACUAUUAAAGGACAUUGAGAAAUCAAGAUAGAAAUACCAGACAGUUUCCUGGCAGACUGAUUUCAUGUAUGUUGGGGGAAGCAAGAGGAAACAGACUAAAGUUUAGAGAACUACAUAGAAGUACUACAAGAAGCAACUGAUGUAUUUCUAAGAGAAGGGCACAAUCUGAUCCUCACCUUGGGAAGCCCCCUUUGGAUACAGUGGACGUACAAGUAAAAAGUAAGAAAAUUUCAUAUCGAGGCUGUGUCGACUGAGAAAUGUCUUGCUAUCUAAAGGAAUUUCAAUAUUUGACGGAUGAGGAAUGGGUUCACAAAUCAGCACCAAGCACGUCAUGGGUGGUUUCUUGUACCCACACUGAGCAUGUCAGUAGGUCUGACAGCUCCAUCCAGGGAGAGUGUGUGUAAGACGGCAGUGACUCCCUGGACUGUGGGAGGAGAGUCCACACUUCACAGGAUUAAUUAUUCAUCUGUGCUAAUUUUGCUUGCAUGUCUAUGGGAGUGUGUCAGAUCUUGGAGUAACAGACCAUUGUGAGCUGCCAUGAGGAUGUGAAUUUGAAGUGGGGUCCCCCCUCCCGAAGAACAGUCAGUGGCCCUAACCACUGAGCCAUCUCUUCAGCCCUUCUCUUACUUCUCUUUUUGAGACAGGGUCUCACUCUGUAGCCUUACCUGGCUUGAAACUAGUUACAUAAACCAGGCUGGCCUGGAAAUCAAGAGAUCUGCCUAUAUCUGCCUCCUAAGUGCUAGGAUUAAAGGAACUCACCGGCAUCCAGAAGUUUUCUCACACGUAAAUAACUGAUGGUGAGCCUCAUAACAGAAGCUUUAUCAAGAUGUGAGCUCACAUUGUGGGGAAGUGGCAACUGAUGAGCAAGCUCAUAAAAAACUUCAGACUCUUUGCUUCGCCGAGAUCUUGCUGCAUCUCUAGACUUUUCUUUUCGACGUUCAGAACUCAUCCUACUUAACAAAAAAAAAAAAAGAGAGACAAGAAUGUACAUGUUAGUUUGUCUUAACUCGAAUAAAAUUAAUUUUCUUAACUGCUGAGCCAUCUCUCCAGCCCCAAUGCCUCCAUUUUUAAAAUGGUUUAUGUCUUUCUAUACUUCAGAUACUUAAUGUGUAAUUUAAAUUAAAAAUUAAGAAAUUAUAGGACUUCUCUGAACAACAAUAAGAAACGUGAAAGUUACCUUCAGACAUUUAGAAGAUAGAUUUAUCAUUUAUGCAAUUUCAGAGAAUUGUUAGCAGAAAUUAUAUGGAAGUUACAUCCCAUUCAAAGAGGUCAAAGCAGUGUUAAAGGCAAAGAAAAGGAAAAAUGACAGAAGGAAAAAAUACAGGUGACGCGAAACAAAGAAUUAAAGGCAACCAAAAAAGGCUCAGACCAAGGAGUGAGAUGUCUGAAGAAGAGAUCCUCCAGAAUGCAGGAACUCCAGACAGGGAAUAGCUUGUGGACUUUUCGUGGUGAUAGACAAUCAAUCAAAACAGGAGAAUCGUUACACUUCAGCAGUUGCUGAGGCCAUGUGCCUUCAUUUUUGUCUUUAGAGACCUACAUUACAGGUCUUAAGCACCUAAUGUUCCCAAGUAGAAAUAUGGCACUCUGAUAGCAUUCAAAAGAAGAUUUAUAUUACUAUAUACAUUUAAUGGAUUUUAAACAGACUCCAUAGAUUUUAAAGCAUUUUUUCACCAUAGAUUAUG
rnacentral:lncRNA from 1 species